GUACUACUGACGAGUCCCAAACCGGACGAAACAGCUAUGUCCAGUGU
rnacentral:hammerhead_ribozyme from 1 species